rnacentral:lncRNA from 1 species
AUUUAUUUAUUUAUCUGUGCCCUGCUAGCUAACCGAGUCCUCUAAUGUCUGAUCCUAGAAAAACGUUAAAUCAUCUGAAAAAGGAGAAGUUUGCAGCUCAAAAAGCAGCAGAGAACGGAAAAAAACAGGUAACACACAAAGAUAUGGGUUGCAACAAAGAUGAAGCUUUGUAGUUCAGAGAUGUAAUCGUCUUCCUUCAGAUUUCAGGGCUGCGUUUGCAAAACCAGAAGCUGGAGAACGACAACAAGGUCCUGUCGGAGGAAAAUGCCAGGAUCUCUGCUGAUGUGGAGAGCUUACGACAGCAGCUGGAGAACAGAAAGAGAGAGGCGCUCCCAGUGGAGGAGAGGACCACGGCCCACCUGAAAGACGGGAUGGAGAGCCAGCUCAGCCACCUCGUGGAGGAAUGCAGGAGUGUGGAUAAGGAGACUAUGGGCCUCAGAAACCAGCUCGCCAAAGCUCAGGAAAAGGUGUGAGGGCGUCUAAGCGUGAGGAAAUGUAGAAGCUACUCAUCUCAUGACGUUGUGGGAGAAUCAUCUCAUUUCAGAGGUUGAAGUGGUGCACUAUAGUCACAACGAUUCAUAUUCCUGUUGCUUCCUCUUAAAAAAUGUAUUAUUCAUACAAGACACAGAACUGUGCCUGUAUUCACAGUGAUUUAAUAACACGCUACAGGCUCGAUCGUGCAGAGAUGAUGUUUGUGGUUGACUU